AAGUCGUAACAAGGUUUCCGUAGGUGAACCUGCGGAAGGAUCAUUAACACGUAUCCAACGUUUAUCAACCAACUGUGAACUUGUUUUCAACCUCUCCCUGCCCGGCUACAUGAAUCGGCUAUUUUGUUUAGGCUUAGUGAAAUGGGAGUCGCAAGACUCGGGCCUAACGAAAGACACCGAAUGUGUGUGUUUACGCACACCAUUCGAAACGAUUGUAGUAGUCGCAGGACAAACCCCGUUCCGCUAUCGCUUCGCCCUUUCAUCGAAGCGUUAGUGGGGCAACAAUCAAACACACCAUAAUCACCCCCAAUUUUUGCUAGUUGACUUUUAAUAUGUUGAUCGCUGCAUUGAACGUUCGUUCGUUCGAUCGGCCGAUCACACGUUUCUUAAUUGAACGUUAAAAUUACAACUCUUAGCAAUGGAUAUCUUGGUUCUC
rnacentral:misc_RNA from 1 species